rnacentral:rRNA from 1 species
AGAAUCAACGCUGGCGGCGUGCCUAACACAUGCAAGUCGAACGAGAAAAUCCGGGUGCAGCAAUACGUCCGGGUGAGUAAAGUGGCGAACGGGUGAGUAACACGUAGCUAACCUACCCUCAAGUGGGGGAUAACCCGGGGAAACCUGGGCUAAUACCGCAUAACAUCCCGAUGACGCAGGUCGUUGGGAUCAAAGGCCUGCAAGGGUCACUGGAGGAGGGGGCUGCGGCCGAUUAGCUAGUUGGUGAGGUAACGGCCCACCAAGGCGAUGAUCGGUAGCCGGCCUGAGAGGGCGCACGGCCACACUGGCACUGAAACACGGGCCAGACUCCUACGGGAGGCAGCAGUGGGGAAUUUUGCACAAUGCCCGAAAGGGUGAUGCAGCAACGCCGCGUGAGGGAUGAAGGCCUUCGGGUCGUAAACCUCUUUCGAUCGGGAAAAAUGGGCUGGUGAAGAGCCAGUUCUGAUGGUACCGGAUGAAGAAGCCCCGGCUAACUACGUGCCAGCAGCCGCGGUAAUACGUAGGGGGCGAGCGUUGUUCGGAAUUACUGGGCGUAAAGGGCGUGUAGGCGGUGCGGUAAGUUGGGCGUGAAAUCCCCGAGCUUAACUCGGGUGGGCCGUUCAAGACUGCCGUGCUAGGGUGCGGGAGAGGGAAGUGGAAUUCCCGGUGUAGCGGUGAAAUGCGUAGAUAUCGGGAGGAACACCUGCGGCGAAGGCGGCUUCCUGGACCGUAACCGACGCUGAGGCGCGAAAGCUAGGGGAGCAAACAGGAUUAGAUACCCUGGUAGUCCUAGCCCUAAACGAUGAGCACUGGGUGUGGUCCCUCACGGGGCCGUGCCGAAGCUAACGCAUUAAGUGCUCCGCCUGGGGAGUACGGUCGCAAGGCUGAA